rnacentral:rRNA from 1 species
UACGUAGGCAGCGAGCGUUGUUCGGAAUUACUGGGCGUAAAGAGUGUGUAGGCGGUGUUCCAAGUCUGUUGUGAAAUCUCCCGGCUUAACUGGGAGGGUGCAGCGGAAACUAGAAUGCUAGAGGGUGGGAGAGGUAAGCGGAAUUCCUGGUGUAGCGGUGAAAUGCGUAGAUAUCAGGAGGAACACCUGUGGUGUAGACAGCUUACUGGACCACUUCUGACGCUGAGACACGAAAGCGUGGGGAGCAAACAGG